GGGUGCCGCCCACCUCUGCUCCGACAGCCUCCCCGAGUCCCAGCAGCAAGACGGCAACCACGCACCCAACUUCUCCAGCCACAGCACAUGCCGCCGUCGCCAGCGGCGCCGACAUGACAAGGCGCUGCAUGCCCGCUAGGCCAGGUUUCCCCUCAUCCCCAGCCCCGGGGUCGUCGCCCCCGCGCUGCCAUCUGAGACCCGGUAGUACCGCCCCUGCUGCAGCGGGAAAGAGAACAGAGAGUCCUGGGGACAGGAAGCAGUCAAUUAUAGAUUUCUUCAAACCAGCUUCAAAACAAGAUAGACAUAUGUUGGAUUCUCCACAAAAAUCGAACAUCAGAUAUGGAGAAAGUGGAUUGUCCAUCAGUGGGACAGAGCAGUUUGAAAGGAAACUAUCCUCACCAAAAAGAUCUAAACCCAAAAGGGUGCCAUCAGAAAAGAGCCCCGUCUUAGAGGCAUUCAUGAAAGGUGUUAAAGAGCACCAUAGAGAUCAUGGUGUACAUGAGUCACGUCAGCCUUGUGUGUCACUGGCCACCAAAUGUCCAAAGGCAGUUACAAAAUACGUUCCUCCUUCAUAUCUCUUGUCCAAAGAGACGAAGAAAAAACAUCAGUCUCCAGAGGGAAGGAAGUCACAUUUCAUUCAUGAAAAUAGCAGGGAGAAGAAUGAUGGAGAUCGAGGCAAACUCAGUGCGGAUUCUAAAAAGCAGGCCGCGGUGACAGAAGCUGACAUCUUCAAGAACAGCUCCAGAAAUCUUAGCAGCAGGAGCAGCCUAUCCAGGCACCACCCAGGAGAAAGCCCACUGGGAGCUAAGUUCCAGUUGUCUCUAGCUUCUUACUGCAGAGAAAGAGAACUAAAGAGGUUGAGAAGGGAGCAAAUGGAGCAGAGAAUCAACUCAGAAAAUUCUUUCUCAGCAGCAAGCACUCUUUCCUUAAAAUCCUCUAGUAUAGGAAGAAGAUGCAAACCAAGGCAGGAACAGAAUAAACAGAAUGAUGUCACAGCCGGAAAUAGUAAUCUUUCAAACCUGGAAAAUGGACCUCUCUCAAGAAAAAGAUCCUCUUCUGAUUCAUGGGAGCCUGCCUCAGCAGGCUCUAAGCAGAAUAAAUUCCCUGACAAAAGAAAAAGGAACUCUGUGGACUCAGAUCUGAAAAGCACAAGAGAAUCUAUAAUGCCUAAAGCAAAAGAGUCCUUCCUUGAGAAGCGUCCUGAUGGACCACAUCAGAGAGAAAAAUUUAUAAAACAUAUUGCACUGAAGACACCUGGUGGUGUAUUACGCUUGGAAGAUAUAUCCAAGGAACCGAAUGAAGAAGCUGAUUGCUCCUCUGCAGGCUUGGCACCUUCAAAUUCUGGGCACCAUUCUUCCAGGAAUAGUGACCAAAUUCGUGUGGCAAGUACCAAAGAGACUAAGAUACAGAAACCCCACUUACCUUUACCUCAGGAAAAGUCUGCAGUUAAAAAAGCUAGCAACCUACAGAAAAAUAAAACUGCUAGCUCUGUGGCAUCACAGGAGACAAAACUUCUACCUUUACUUUCCCAUGUUCCAAGUGCUGGUUCCUCUCGGGUUCCAUUAAAUGCUAAAAAUUGCACUCUUCCAGUUCCUAAAAAAGAUAAAGAGCGUUCCUCAUCUAAAGAAUGUUCUGGGCAUUCUACAGAGUCCUCCAAACACAAGGAACACAAAGCAAAGACUAAUAAGGCUGAUUCUAACGUAUCUACAGGGAAAAUUUGUGGGGGAUCUUUGCGUUCAGAAUAUGGCACUCCUACAAAGUCUCCCCCGGCUGCUUUGGAAGUUGUGCCAUGUAUUCCGAGCCCAACAGCACCUUCAGAUAAAGCCCCUUCAGAUAAAGAGAGUUCAGGAAAUUCCAAUGCAGGUAGCAAUGCACUGAAAAGAAAACUAAGGGGUGAUUUUGAUAGUGAUGAAGAAAGUUUAGGUUAUAACCUAGACAGUGAUGAGGAAGAGGAAACAUUAAAAUCACUGGAAGAAAUAAUGGCUUUGAACUUCAAUCAGACUCCUGCAACUACAGGAAAGCCUCCUGCUCUUUCUAAGGGGCUUAGAUCUCAGUCAUCAGACUAUACAGAACAUGUUCAUAGUGGAACUUAUACAAAUACUUUAGAGCGUCUAGUGAAGGAGAUGGAAGACACACAAAGGCUAGAUGAACUGCAGAAGCAACUACAGGAAGACAUAAGGCAGGGCCGAGGCAUUAAAUCCCCAAUCAGAAUUGGUGAUCAAGACAGUACAGAUGAUGAAGAUGGCCUCUUAGAAGAGCACAGAGAAUUUCUAAAGAAAUUUUCAGUUACAACUGAUGCUAUUCCUGAUCAUCAUCCAGGCGAAGAAAUAUUUAAUUUCCUUAAUUCUGGAAAAAUUUUCAAUCAGUAUACCUUGGAUUUAAGAGACUCUGGUUUUAUUGGACAAAGUGCUGUAGAAAAGCUUAUUCUUAAAUCAGGAAAAACAGAUCAGAUUUUUUUGACAACACAAGGCUUCCUUACCUCUGCUUAUCACUAUGUCCAGUGUCCUGUACCUGUGUUAAAGUGGCUGUUUCGGAUGAUGUCAGUUCAUACAGACUGUAUUGUGUCUGUGCAGAUUUUAAGUACAUUAAUGGAAAUAACAAUAAGAAAUGAUACCUUCAGUGAUUCACCAAUUUGGCCUUGGAUCCCAUCAUUGUCUGAUAUAGCUGCUGUGUUUUUCAAUAUGGGAAUUGAUUUUAAAUCUUUGUUUCCUCUGGAGAAUCUUCAGCCAGACUUUAAUGAAGAUGAUCUAGUUGCUGAAACACAGAUGACACUGGGGGUGAAAGGAAGUGAAGAUUCAUCUUGUAAGCCUAUAUUUUCAUCUCUCCCUGAAACCAACAUUUUAAAUGUGGUCAAGUUUCUAGGCUUGUGUACAUCUAUACAUCCAGAAGGUUACCAGGAUUGUGAAAUAAUGUUGCUGAUUUUAAUGUUGUUUAAAAUGAGUCUGGAGAAACAACUGAAACAGAUUCCUCUAGUGGACUUUCAAAGCCUCCUGAUAAACCUGAUGAAAAACAUCAGAGAUUGGAAUACAAAGGUGCCUGAACUCUGUAUGGCCAUAAAUGAACUCUCCAGUCAUCCCCACAACCUUCUGUGGUUGGUACAGCUGGUCCCUAACUGGACAUCACGUGGAAGGCAGCUGAGACAGUGCCUUAGCCUAGUGAUUAUUUCAAAGCUUUUGGAUGAGAAACAUGAAGAUAUCCCUAAUGCGAAUAAUCUGCAGAUAUCAGUCUUGCAUCGCUAUCUUGUGCAAAUGAAGCCUUCAGAUUUGUUGAAGAAAAUGGUCUUGAAGAAAAGGGCUGAACAACCAAAUGGCACUAUUGAUGAUAGUCUUCAUUUGGAACUUGAAAAGCAGGCAUAUUACCUGACCUACAUUCUUCUUCAUUUAGUCGGUGAAGUUAGUUGUUCUAACUCUUUUUCUUCUGGACAACGGAAACACUUUGUGCACCUCUGUGGGGCUUUAGAAAAGCAUGUUAAGUGUGAUAUUAGGGAAGAUGCAAGACUGUUUUAUAGAACUAAGGUAAAAGACUUGGUUGCCAGGAUACACGGAAAAUGGCAGGAAAUAAUCCAGAACUGUCGGCCUACUCAGGGGCAGCUUCAUGACUUCUGGGUACCAGAUUCUUAACAGGAGCAGCAGCAAAAUUAUGAACCAAGAGAAAUUCAAUAAGAGCCUUUCCUAAAGGAGUAGAAAGUAGUACAGAACCCAGUGGAAGGCUAAGAAAAUGUUCAGCAAAUGUGCUACUUGAAUAUCUAGUAUGAAGCUGGCUAGAGUCAAGAGAGGGCAAACCCGAAGGCCCAGCUUUGGGUCUGACUCCAAGACGACUGGCUGGGAGGAAAACUUAACAGGCAAAACAGGCUUCUGAGGCACAGUGGGACAGUGAGACUACAGCAUUGUUGCACUGGUGACAGUGCCUACAGAAGAAGCACCUCAGCUGUAUGUGUGGCCAAAAUAAAUAUCACACCACCUAAAGGGAGAGUACUGGGCAGACCAGAGCUGGAGAUGGCAAAAUAGGAACAGAAAUGCUGCCACAGGGAACAGGAAGCACAGGACAACUUGACUAGGCCAGAGUUCUCUUGCCUCAGAGAACCUCUGCUCAAGUUUCAGGAUUUCAUACCUGUCCCCUUCACCUAGGAUCUCUGCUACAGUGAGUAACUGCUCUGUGCAAAGCCUGGCGCCAAACGCUGGUGUGUAGGUGGCUGAGGACAACUAGCACUGCCCUCUGCCACUUUCUUACAGCGGAGUUGGGGAGAAUAGCUUAGCA